rnacentral:sRNA from 1 species
UAGCCCGUUGUCUGACUUCUUCAGGG